rnacentral:rRNA from 1 species
CCCUUAAAAGGGCUUAGAGUUUGAUCCUGGCUCAGAACGAACGCUCGUUGGCGUGCUUAACACAUGCAAGUCGAACGCGAAAGGGACUUCGGUCCUGAGUAAAGUGGCGCACGGGUGAGUAACGCGUGGAUAAUCUACCCGACGAUCCGGGAUAACAUCUCGAAAGGGGUGCUAAUACCGGGUAAGACCACGGGCUCUUCGGAGCUUGCGGUAAAAGGUGGGGACCUUCGGGCCUACCGUCAUCGGAUGAGUCCGCGUACCAUUAGCUAGUUGGUGGGGUAAGAGCCUACCAAGGCGACGAUGGUUAGCUGGUCUGAGAGGAUGAUCAGCCACACUGGAACUGAGACACGGUCCAGACUCCUACGGGAGGCAGCAGUGGGGAAUUUUGCGCAAUGGGGGAAACCCUGACGCAGCAACGCCGCGUGAGUGAUGAAGGCCUUCGGGUCGUAAAGCUCUGUCAGAGGGAAAGAAGUGCAGUGGUGCUAAUAUCAUCAUUGCUUGACGGUACCCUCAAAGGAAGCACCGGCUAACUCCGUGCCAGCAGCCGCGGUAAUACGGAGGGUGCGAGCGUUGUUCGGAAUUAUUGGGCGUAAAGCGCGUGUAGGCGGUUUGUUAAGUCUGAUGUGAAAGCCCCGGGCUCAACCCGGGAAGUGCAUUGGAUACUGGCAGACUUGAAUACGGGAGAGGGUAGUGGAAUUCCUAGUGUAGGAGUGAAAUCCGUAGAUAUUAGGAGGAACACCGGUGGCGAAGGCGGCUGCCUGGACCGAUAUUGACGCUGAGACGCGAAAGCGUGGGGAGCAAACAGGAUUAGAUACCCUGGUAGUCCACGCCGUAAACGAUGAGUACUAGGUGUUGCGGGUAUUGACCCCUGCAGUGCCGCAGCUAACGCAUUAAGUACUCCGCCUGGGAAGUA